GAUGAACGCUGGCGGCGUGCCUAAUACAUGCAAGUCGAGCGAACGGACGAGAAGCUUGCUUCUCUGAUGUUAGCGGCGGACGGGUGAGUAACACGUGGAUAACCUACCUAUAAGACUGGGAUAACUUCGGGAAACCGUAGCUAAUACCGGAUAAUAUUUUGAACCGCAUGGGUCAAAAGUGAAAGACGGUCUUGCUGUCACUUAUAGAUGGAUCCGCGCUGCAUUAGCUAGUUGGUAAGGUAACGGCUUACCAAGGCAACGAUGCAUAGCCGACCUGAGAGGGUGAUCGCCCACACUGGAACUGAGACACGGUCCAGACUCCUACGGGAGGCACCAGUAGGGAAUCUUCCGCAAUGGGCGAAAGCCUGACGGAGCAACGCCGCGUGAGUGAUGAAGGUCUUCGGAUCGUAAAACUCUGUUAUUAGGGAAGAACAUAUGUGUAAGUAACUGUGCACAUCUUGACGGUACCUAAUCAGAAAGCCACGGCUAACUACGUG
rnacentral:rRNA from 1 species